ACGGCUAACUCUGUGCCAGCAGCCGCGGUAAUACAGAGGUCCCAAGCGUUGUUCGGAUUCACUGGGCGUAAAGGGUGCGUAGGUGGUUAGGUAAGUCUGAUGUGAAAUCUCUGGGCUCAACCCAGAAACUGCAUUGGAUACUAUCUAGCUAGAGGAGUGGAGGGGGGACUGGAAUACUUGGUGUAGCAGUGAAAUGCGUAGAUAUCAAGUGGAACACCAGUGGCGAAGGCGAGUCCCUGGACACUUCCUGACACUGAGGCACGAAAGCUAGGGGAGCAAACAGGAUUAGAUACCCUGGUAGUCCUAGCUGUAAACUGUGCACGUUUGCUGUAAAAGGAAUCGACCCCUUUUGUGGCGAAGCUAACGCGUUAAACGUGCCGCCUGGGAAGUACGGUCGCAAGAUUAAAACUCAAAGGAAUUGACGGGGGCCCGCACAAGCGGUGGAGCAUGUGGUUUAAUUCAAUGCAACGCGAAGAACCUUACCUGCCCUUGACAUAGGACGAAGCUAGGAGAGAUUCUGGUGUGCCGAAAGGAACGUCCAUACAGGUGCUGCAUGGCUGUCGUCAGCUCGUGUCGUGAGAUGUUGGGUUAAGUCCCGUAACGAGCGCAACCCUUGUCCUUAGUUACCAUCACAUAAAGGUGGGGACUCUAAGGAGACUGCCGGUGACAAACCGGAGGAAGGCGGGGACGAUGUCAAGUCAUCAUGGCCCUUACGGGCAGGGCUACACACGUGCUACAAUGGUUGGUACAGAGGGGUGCGAAGCAGCGAUGUGGAGCGAAUCCUAAAAAGCCAGUCGUAGUCCGGAUUGAAGUCUGCAACUCGACUUCAUGAAGUCGGAAUCGCUAGUAAUCGCGAAUCAGCAUGUCGCGGUGAAUACGUUCCCGGGCCUUGUACACACCGCCCGUCACACCAUGGGAGUGGAUUGCACCAGAAGUAGAUAGCUUAACCGAAAGGGGGGCGUUUACCACGGUGUGGUUCAUGACUGGGGUGAAGUCGUAACAAGGUAGCCGU
rnacentral:rRNA from 1 species